rnacentral:rRNA from 1 species
AGAGUUUGAUCCUGGCUCAGGACGAACGCUGGCGGCAUGCCUAAUACAUGCAAGUCGAGCGGAGUUGAUAGGAAGCUUGCUUCCUUGAUGCUUAGCGGCGGACGGGUGAGUAACACGUAGGCAACCUGCCCUCAAGCUUGGGACAACUACCGGAAACGGUAGCUAAUACCGAAUACUUGCUUUCUUCGCCUGAAGAGAGC